rnacentral:lncRNA from 1 species
GCGGCCCUCUCUUUGAAUUCUUUGGUCAUCAACCUCAAUAUUUGGGAUGUGAGAAAUGCAAGCCCAAUCCGCACCCUUUCUAUUUCCACAUCUUUCCUUCAAUUGGGGACAGUCAUUGAUAUUCAAUUCUCGUAACGAGGUGAGGGAACGCAUCUCUUGAGGCAGACACUUUAUUGCCGGACAAAUCUCAAUGGUUAGUCUUUGAAGACAAGUGAGAUUCCGCAGUCCAUCUGGAGGUAGAGAUUCGAGCUCUUUAAUGUCCCUAAUCCGAAGGAUCUUCAAUUUAGAGAGAGGAGGAACGAUUGAGGAAGAAGAAGAGAUUGAUGGUGUGAAUAUUUGGUGCACAAGUUGUGGGCUUGCGUACCGCAAAGAUAGUGAAUGAUCGAGAGAUGGAAACUGAGGGAUGGAGGUCAAAUUAGGGCAGUCCUCACAAACGAAAUAUGAAAGACAAGGAAAUUGGAGUAGCUCAAGAGCUGUCGAAUCAUCCUCCUUCUUCUUCUGCCAUCCUUUAAGCUUAGGACAACGAUAUAGCUCGAGAGUCUUUAGGGAUGGAAAGAAUGAUGUUGGUUGUUCCUCAAUCUCCAUGUAUUCUAAAUCAUCUACUCCCCAAAUCUCUAGAUAUUGAAGAGAAGGGAUUUGAUCCAUUGGUGGGAGAUGCUGAUAUCUCUUGCAAUUCCAUAUACAGAGAUAGACAAGAUUCGUGAGGGAAGAGAACCAACUUGGGAACCUCCUGCCUCCAUAGUUAAGCACGCGUAACUCUUUAAGAUUGGGAUGUGGUUGGAGAUUUUGGAAUGCCAUUUCAUCUCUAUCAACAUUUGAAUCUUCCCAACUCUCCUCCCAACUUAAUUUCAAUGAUUGAAUGAGUGGCUUCUCUUUCAAAUUAACAUUUACAAUCUCAUUAUCCACACAUCCCAGAUUUCUAAUUGCAAGACGUCCCCUCAAAUUGCUAAGCUUAUUCAAUUCAUUUAUUUUUCCAACAUCCUUUGAGGAAAUAUGCCCUUUUGCCACUACGAACAGUGACAACGUCUGAAGUGAAGUCAACUGCCCAAGCCCACGUGGCAUAUGAGUCAAAGAGUAACAACCUUCACAAUAUAAAUGCCUAAGAUUCACAAGCUUUUUAAUAUCUUUAGGCAAUUCUUUGAGCUGGACACAAUAAGAGACAUCGAAUACUUGUAAAUUCAGCAAAUCCGUAAUAGAAUGUGAAAGUGCUUUAAGUCCCUUGUUAUCGGAAACAUCAAGAUAUCUUAUAUAUUUUAGCAUUUUUAUAGAAUUAUCCACCGUUUUAUAUGAAUGCAUUGUAAAUACACGUAAAAAUUUUAAAUUUUUAUAAAUAAAUAACUGAUCGUAAUCAUAUUUCUCAAGAAAAAGAAGCGAUCGUAGUCUUUUUGUGUUAUUAAGAAUUUCUUUUGAUGCAACAUCCAAAUUCAAUGCUAAAUGAUGGAUUUUAUCAUCAAUAUUUGAUGCAUCAGAAUUUACUAGCUGAAUUCUCUUCCCACCCACUGUGGUUGCGAGAUCGUGCAUUAAAUCAUGCAUUUUACAGCUUUCUACAUUUCCACAUCUAUCUCUUUUCACCUCUUGAAAAAAUGACCUCCACCACAGUUUCAUAAAAUAUUCAAGCCCAAUAUCUUCAAGACAAUCACUCCAACUUGGUGACUCAAUAAACCCUUGUGCAAUCCAAAGAUGGAUUAAUCUUUUCACAUCAAUCACAUAAUCUUUUGGAUAUAUUGCGCAAUAUGCAAAACAAUGCUUCAAAUGUGAUGGGAGAUGAUCAUAACUUAGCUUCAGUGUUGGCAUAAUAUCAUUACCAUCUUGACUUAUUCUUGAGAGUUCUUUUGUUAAAAAGGGCAGCCACUCAGUUUCUGGAUUUUUCGCAUACAAGAGACUUGCGAUAGUUUUUAUUGCAAGAGGAACUCCAUGACAUUUCUUCAAAAUCUCCUUUCCCAUCUCUCUUACAUUUGCAUGUUUUGGCUCCUGCCCCUCAAGUGCUACAUGCAAAAACAAAGACCAAGACUCAUCCGGAGACAACCCUUCCAAAACAUGUGGUGCUAUUGUGCCAGAUAUAUCUGCCACCAUUUUAGAGCGAGUGGUUAUUAAUAUCUUACUUCCACUAGAGCCACCCACUAAUAAUCUCUUUAAAUUCUGCCAUUUUUCUCUAUUCUCAUUCCACACAUCAUCUAGAACAAGCAGAUAUUUCUUCCCACUAAAAAUUUUUUCCAGUCUAGACUUCAAUGCUUCUAACCCAAGAUCUUCCGAUCUAUUCCCUGUUGCAGACUCUAGAAUCUUUCCAACAGUCAUUUUCACAUCAAAAGGUUCUGAAACACACACCCAUAUUCUUGGCUCAAAUGAAUUCUUAAUCAAUUCAUCAUUCAAUAUGAUUUGAGCAAGAGUGGUCUUCCCUAAUCCUCCAAUUCCAACAAUUGAGAGGACUGAAACACACUCUUCACCAUUGGAAGACAAUACAAGUUGUGUAAUUGCCUUUUUGUCACCCUCUCUCCCAAUAACCACUUCAGGUAAAGAGGACGUAGUUUGAUCCCUCCAUACAAUACUCUCCUGAUCAGUACGAACCUCUAAAUUAAAUUUUCUGUCAGCUUCAAUAUCAGCUAGCCUCUCCCUAAUCGCCUUAACUUUAUGACCCAUUUUAAAACCAUAAACAAGUUUAUUUGAAGACGAAAAGAAGAGACUUACCUCCUUUGUCAUUCUAUUUCCAGUCAUCACUCGGCGCCUUAGGGCUUCUGUGGCGAAGUCAUCUACCAAGUCAUCAGCAUCAUAAACCACUUCUUCUAGCCUCUCAAGCCAGCCUUUCACUUGACGGUUAAGUUUCUGCUGCUCCUCAGCAUCCAGAAGAACGUUGCGAAUACUAGAAACUGUGGCCUCAAGUUUCUUAAGCUCACCUUUGACGCCCCACCACAAUCCGAUCUCAUGAAGGGCUCGAGAACCCAGCUUGGUAAUGAUAUCUAUGACAACGUUAGAGAGAACUCCGUCGGCCAUUUUGGGUGUUUUGGUUUGAUUGUAAAAGGAUGAAAUGUUGCUGUGAAGAAGAAGAUGGUGACAACAAAUGACUAAUUUAAAGAAAAAAAAAAGUGAAGGAAAAAGCAUUCUUCUAAAUAAUUAUCUUCAGUCGGUCAGCUUUGGUGGGCGGUGGUUUGCUUUAAUUUAAAAAGUAAAAUAUAUUAAUAAAUUUAUAUAUAGAAUGAAAGUAAGUUAUGUUUUUUUUAAAAUAAUUUUAUUUUUUUAUUUAAAAAAUAUUUUUUAUUAAAUAAAUUUUGAGUGAUUCAAAUCGUUAAAAAAUAUAAAAUAUAUUUUUAAUGUUAAUGAAUUUUGGUUAUUGAAAUGAAAGUAUUUUUAUAUAUUUGUAUGAUGAUAUAAAAUUAUAUCAGGUGUAACAUGUAUAAUAGAUUUAUUAUGAGUUUUAAAGAUUUUAAAUGGAUCUGAAUUUCAAUACUGUAGCGAUUUGAUUUUUGAAUCGUUAUAGAAAUAACCGGUUGAUUUUAUGAAUUCUAGUACUGUAGCGAUUCGAUUUUUAAAUCGUCAUAGGAACAAUAAUCAUUAUAGGAACAAUAGGUUGAUUUUAUUUUUUGGGUAACAGAAUCUCAAGAGUAUCCUAUUGCAUAUUAUAGAUCCAUCGAUGUUAGAGAUGUUGUGUAUGCACACAUUCAAGAUUUGGAGAUUCCUUCUCUUCUGAGGUUCUAAAGAUUGUGUCAGCAACAUUAUCCUACAUUGCACCUUUCAAAAAAGUAUGAUUUUUUUUAUAUUUUUGCAUGCUCAUUUUGAACCAGCUAUAUAAAUGCUAAGAUCUAUAAUUAUUCGGAUAAUUGAGAAAUAGUUGUUUUGAAUGAUUAAUUUGAUCAUGGAAUAUAAUCUGAGUUGCAGAUGUGGCUCUAGAUUGAAUUACUUAACAAAGUAUGAGGUAUCAAAGGAAAAAGCGAAAACUUUGGGCAUUGACUUCAUUCCUUUGGAGGUUAGUUUGAAGGACACUAUUGAAAGCUUGAAGCAGAAGGGCUUCCUCAGCAUUUGAUUUUGGCUGUUGGAUAAAAAGCAAUGCAAAUAUUACAUUGGCCUUAGCUUCCUAUUGGUGCAAGAUCUUAUUGCCCUUCAAGAUUGUCUUUAUUUGAAAAAAGUGGACCAAUACAAUUUAUAAAAUAUAUAACAAUUUGUAUAUAACUGUGUAUAAACAUAUUACAUGUGUCACUUGUUUUAGUGAUAGAUGAAGUUCGUUUCAGGUCUGAUUUAUGAGGAAAUUACUUUUUUUUUUUUUUUUAUCUGAUUUCAGGUCACAUUCCAAAGAAUAAGACACAAGAAAAAGAAAAUGUAUAAUCCACCAAUUCUGAUUUAGUUCGGUCUUUUCAAAGUAUAUUCAGAUUUCAUAGCCAAUUCAUUUAAUGCCGUAUCUGAUUUCUGGUUCUUGUGAUAUGCUCUUACAAAAUUCAUCUAAAAUUCAGUGCUCUUACACAUUCUGGAAACACAAUUUAUACAAAAACUGAUUUCUCAGGAAAAAAAAGGAAAAUAAUGUUAUUUGCAUUGAAUGAACAAAUGAUUAGCAUAGUAGCAAAACUACUUAAAAUAAGAGAAAUUAGAAACCAAAAAGCAGCACAGCAUGAGUCUGGGCAUUGCAUGUUGGAUGAUCGAAACAGAGGUCUUGAGUGCGAAUCUAGAUCCUGAAAUACGCAGGCCUGCAAAAAGUCAUUCGAAGAAGUGUGCAAAACUCCCAUCAUUCAGCUUUCUUUCUGCUUCCCGCUCAGCAGGAUUACUAUGUACUGAGACAGAUAGGAAACUUAUCCCGGUGAGUUUUUAUUCCGGGAUGUCAAGGGCACAAUGCGCAGCUUAGUGAAUCUCCAUCAUCUUUGCCACAGGUGUAAGUUAUGAAGAUAGUUGCUAGAUGGAGGAUUUUCACACUAGUGAUUAAGCAUCUGUUUCAAGCCAGAAUCAUCAUUAAAUCACAGAUUUGCUUUACAAGCAAUAACUAGAGGGAUUUCAUAUUACAAGUAGAGUCUUUAUAACCUACUGAAUCGCUUAUUUGCGAAGACAGAAGAAAAGGAGAGCUCACGUUUUGUUUUUACUGCACAAAUACUGCAUAUGGAAUCUGAGUGAGAAGUUACUCCCUAAAAAUUUCAAAAGUGUUUUUGAGAGGUACCUUUGCGCGAAUCUUCUGGCAACAGACCCAAAGAAGUCAUCCAAUAAGUAGAAAUUCUUCUAUGGAAGGCCACACACAUUAAUAGCAGUUCUUUCAAGGCGAAUUAUGCCAAGCCAAUCAAGGAAUUGCUGCCAUGGCAUGUAGUUGUGGUUUCUUAAUGUGUUCGAGUAACUUCUGCACAAGGAAUCAAAUUAAUCUUUAAAUCCGUGAAAUUAAAAGGGAUGCAGAAUUACAAAACUAAUAAUAAGAACAAUAAUAAUAAGAUGGAUAGAAGCAUGACCUGCCAAUGCAUGAUUUCGGCAAGCCUUUGCUUUGGUUCACCACUUCCCAAUGUAGUAAGAAUUUCAACAGCAUCCCAGAAUUUCAAUAGCAUCCCAAUGAUAACUCAUACUUGAUGAGCCUUGAUGGAGAAAUGAAAGUCCAGUUAAAAUUAUUCAAAAUGCAUAUCCACUCGCCAAGAACAUAUGCACCCAGAAAUCUCCUUAAAUAAAUAAGGUUUUAACAAGGUGAAUGCUUUGCUUUUUCUUUUUUUGGGAAGAACUUCAAAGUAAACAAAGGUAAGACUGUUGGGUUUUGAUGUUUACCUUGUGUGGGAGAAAUAUGAUGUUUACCCAGAAAUCACAUUUUUGUUUUCAGAAUAAAUGGUUUUUUCCACCUCUGCAUUUGACAUUGAAAAAACUUGAAUAAAUACCAAAUAAUUAAGAAAUGCUGCUGAUUUAAUUUACAAAGGAAUGGUGCAUGUGAAGAGAAAUUGACAUAUGACAAUCACAUUCAGCACAAUCAAUUCUCAUCCUAAUUUAGAAGACUAAUCAAACUAACUGCAGCAAUAACAUCUUUUCCACGAAGUCUACUAACUUCUGCACAUAGAGUCAAAAUUAAUCCGUUAUAUCCAUGAAAAGAAUGAAGGCAGAAUUACAUUAAAAAAUGAAUAAAAAUGAUGGUUAAAAGAAUGACCUGCCAAUGCAUUUAAAAUCUCUUUGAAUUUGUUUCCCACAUCCCAAUUUAUUAGAAUUUCAGGUGAGUAAAAAAAGAAAAAAAUGAUUCCUCUAGCUUGAUGAGCCUGUAUAUGUGGGAAAAAAGUGUUAAAAUAUUAUCAUAAAGCAAACAAAUUCUCAAUUACACAAAAAAUAAAAGAAAGAAAAGGUACGCUGUAUAUUGAUCUUGAUUGUAAAGAAAUAAUGACAAAAGGAUACUUACAACUCAAAGGUAAUACACUGCUCAUUUUGGAAGAAACACAUCCAACACUUCAAAACUUAUCCUUCAUUGAUCUGUGUAAAUAGAAUCAUAGAGUGAAGAUUUUCUCAUGUAAGUUUAGUUUGCAAAUUGGAGAGAAAAAGGACCAACUUACCGAAGCUUCAUCAUCCAGUAGAUAGCGGCCCUCUCUUUGAAUUCUUUGGUUAUCAACUUCAAUAUUUGGGAUGUGAGAAAUGAAAGCCCAAUCCGCACCCUUUCUAUUUCCACAUCUUUCCUUCAAUUGGGGACAGUCAUCGAUAUCCAAUUCUCGUAACGAGGUGAGGGAACGCAUCUCUUGAGGCAGACACUUUAUUGCCGGACAAAUCUCAAUGGUUAGUCUUUGAAGACAAGUGAGAUUCCGCAGUCCAUCUGGAGGUAGAGAUUCGAGCUCUUUAAUGUCCCUAAUCCAAAGGUUCUUCAAUUUAGAGAGAGGAGGAAUGAUUGAGGAAGAAGAAGAGAUUGAUGGUGUGAAUAUUUGGUGCACAAGUUGUGGGCUUGCGUGCAGCAAAUGUAGUGAAUCAUCGAGAGAUGGAAACUGAGGGAUGGACUUCAAAUUAGGGCAGUCCUCACAAACGAAAUAUGAAAGACAAGGAAAUUGGAGUAGCUCAAGAGCUGUCGAAUCAUCCUCCUUCUUCUUCUGCCAUCCUUUAAGCUUAGGACAACCAUAUAGCACGAGAGUCUUUAGGGAUGGAAAGAAUGAUGUUGGUUGUCCCUCAAUCUCCAUGUAUUCUAAAUCAUCUACUCCCCAAAUCUCUAGAUAUUGAAGAGAAGGGAUUUGAUCCAUUGGUGGGAGAUGCUGAUAUCUCUUGCAAUUCCAUAUACAGAGAUAGACAAGAUUCGUGAGGGAAGAGAACCAACUUGGGAACCUCCUGCCUCCAUAGCCAAACACAAGUAACUCUUUAAGAUUGGGAUGUGGUUGGAGAUUUUGGAAUGCCAUUUCAUCUCUAUCAACAUUUGAAUCUUCCCAACUCUCCUCCCAACGUAGUUUCAAUGAUUGAAGGAGUGGCUUCUCUUUCAAAUUAACAUUUACAAUCUCAUCAUCCACACAUCCCAGAUUUCUAAUUUCAAGACGUCCCCUCAAAUUGUUAAGCUUAUUCAAUUCAUUUAUUUUUCCAACAUCCUUUGAGGAAAUAUGCCCUUUUCCCACUACGAACAGUGACAACGUCUGAAGUGAAGUCAACUGCCCAAGCCCACGUGGCAUAUGAGUCAAAGAGUUACAACCUUCACAAUAUAAAUGCCUAAGAUUCACAAGCUUUUUAAUAUCUUUAGGCAAUUCUUUGAGCUCGUCACAAUAAGAGACAUCUAAUACUUGUAAAUUCAGCAAAUCCGUAAUAGAAUUUGAAAGUGCUUUAAGUUUCUCGUUAUCGGAAACGUCAAGAUAUCUUAGAUAUUUUAGCAUUUUUAUAGAAUUAUCCAUUAUUCUAUAUGAAUGCAUAGUAAAUACACGCAAAAAUUUUAAAUUUUUAUAAAUAAAUAGCUGAUCGACAUUAUGUUCCUCAGACAAAAGAAUCGAUCGUACUCUUUUUGCAUUGUUAAGAAUUUCUUGUGGUGCAACAACUAAAUUCAAUGCUACAUGAUGGGUUUUCUCAUCAAUAUUUGGUGCAUCAGAAUUUACUAGCUGAAUCCUCUUUCCACCCACUGUGGUUGCGAGAUCGUGCAUUAAAUCAUGCAUUUUACAGCUUUCUACAUUUCCACAUCUAUCUCUUUCCACCUCUUGAAAAAAUGACCUCCACCACAGUUUCAUAAAAUAUUCAAGCCCAAUAUCUUCAAGACAAUCACUCGUACUUGGUGAUUCAAUAAACCCUUGUGCAAUCCAAAGAUGGAUUAAUGUUUUCACAUCAAUCACAUAAUCUUUUGGAUAUAUUGCGCAAUAUGCAAAACAAUGCUUCAAAUGUGAUGGGAGAUGAUCAUAACUUAGCUUCAGUGUUGGCAUAAUAUCAUUACCAUCUUGACUUAUUCUUGAGAGUUCUUUUGUUAAAAAGGGCAACCACUCAGUUUCUGGAUUUUUCGCAUACAAGAGACUUGCUAUAGUUUUUAUUGCAAGUGGAACUCCAUGACAUUUCUUCAAAAUCUCCUUUCCCAUCUCUCUUACAUUUGCAUGUUUUGGCUCCUGCCCCUUAAGUGCUACAUGCAAAAACAAAGACCAAGACUCAUCCAGAGACAACCCUUCCAAAACAUGUGGUGCUGUUGUGCCAGAUAUAUCUGCCACCUUUUUAGAGCGAGUGGUUAUUAAUAUCUUACUUCCACUAGAGCCACCCACUAAUAAUCUCUUUAAAUUCUGCCAUUUUUCUCUAUUCUCAUUCCACACAUCAUCUAGAACAAGCAGAUAUUUCUUCCCACUAAUAAUUUUUUCCAGUCUAGACUUCAAUGCUUCUAACCCAAGAUCUUCCGAUUUAUUCCCUGUUGCAGACUCUAGAAUCUUUCCAACAGUCAUUUUCACAUCAAAAGGUUCUGAAACACACACCCAUAUUCUUGGCUCAAAUGAAUUCUUAAUCAUUUCAUCAUUCAAUAUGAUUUGAGCAAGAGUGGUCUUCCCUAAUCCUCCAAUUCCAACAAUUGAGAGGACUGAAACACACUCUUCACCAUUGGAAGACAAUACAAGUUGUGUAAUUGCCUUUUUGUCACCCUCUCUCCCAAUAACCACUUCAGGUAAAGAGGACGUAGUUUGAUCCCUCCAUACAAUACUCUCCUGAUCAGUACGAACCUCUAAAUUAAAUUUUCUGUCAGCUUCAAUAUCAGCUAGCCUCUCCCUAAUCGCCUUAACUUUAUGACCCAUUUUAAAACCAUAAACAAGUUUAUUUGAAGACGAAAAGAAGAGACUUACCUCCUUUGUCAUUCUAUUUCCAGUCAUCACUCGGCGCCUUAGGGCUUCUGUGGCGAAGUCAUCUACCAAAUCAUCAGCAUCAUAAACCACUUCUUCUAGCCUCUCAAGCCAGCAUUUCACUUGACGGUUAAGUUUCUGCUGCUCCUCAGCAUCCAGAAGAACGUUGCGAAUACUAGAAACUGUGGCCUCAAGUUUCUUAAGCUCACCUUUGACGCCCCACCACAAUCCGAUCUCAUGAAGGGCUCGAGAACCCAGCUUGGUAAUGAUAUCUCCGACAACGUUAGAGAGAACUCCGUCGGNNNNNNNNNNNNNNNNNNNNNNNNNNNNNNNNNNNNNNNNNNNNNNNNNUUUAAAUAAAAAAAAAAAAAAAGAAGUGGAGGAAAAAGCGGUCCGUUAACUUUGGACGGCGCUGGUUUGCUUUAAUUUAAAAAGUAAAAUAUAUUAAUAAAUUUAUAUAUAGAAUGAAAGUUAGUUAUUUUUUAUAAAAUAAUUUUAUUUUUUAUUAAAUAAAUUUUAUGAGUGAUUUAAAUCGUUAAAAAAUAUAAAAUAUAUUUUUGAUGUUACUAAAAUUUUGUUAUUGAAAUGAAAGUAUUUUUAUAUAUUUUGUGAUGAUGUAUAAAGUUACAUUAGGUAUAAUAUGAUGUAUAGUAAAUUUAUUAUGAGUUUUAAUGACUUUAAAUCGAUUUAAAUUUUAAUAUUGAUAGCGGUUCAAUUUCUGAAUUAUUAUCGAAAUGUAUAGCAGGAGCUCAAGAGUAUCCUGUUGCAUAUUAUAGAUCCAUCGAUAUAAAAAAUAUGGCAUAUGCACACAUUCAGGAUUUAGAGAUUCCUUCAGCUAGUGGCAGAUAUUGUUUAAUUAAAAGAGAUGUCCACUUCUCUGAGGUUUUGAAGAUUGUGUCAGCAACAUUAUCCUACAUUGCACCUUCCAAAAAACUAUGGUUUUUUUUAUAUUUUUGCAUGCUCAUGUUGGACCAGCUAUAUGAAUGGCUAAGAUAUAUAAUUAUUUGGAUAACUGAGAAAUAGUUAUUUUGAAUGAUUAAUUUGAUCAUGGAAUAUAAUCUGAGUUGCAGAUGUGGCUCUGAAUUGAAUUACUUAACAAAGUAUGAGGUAUCAAAGAAAAAAGCGAAAACUUUGGAUAUUGAUUUCAUUCCUUUGGAGGUUAGUUGAAGGACACUAUUGAAAGCUUGAAGGAGAAGAGCCUCCUCAGCAUUUGAUUUUGGCUGUCGGAUAAAAAGCAAUGCAAAUAUUACAUUGGCCUUUCAGGUUCAUUGGCUUUAGCUUUCUAUUGGUGUAAGGUAUUAUUGCCCUUCAGAAUUGUCUUUAUUUAAAAAAAGUGAACCCAUACAAUUUGUAAAAUAUAUUAAAAUUUGUAUACAGCUGUAUAUAAACAUAUUACAUGUGUCGCUUGUUUCUGGUAGAUAAAGUUCAUUUCAGGUCUGAUUUCUGAGGAAGUUGCUCUUUUUUUUUAUCUGAUUUCAAGUCUCAUUCCAAAGAAGAAGACACAAGAAAAAGAAAAUGUGUAAUCCACCAAUUCAGAUUUAGUUCAGUCUUUUCAAAGUAUAUUCAGAUUUCAUAGCCAAUUCAUUUAAUGCUGUAUCUGAUUUCUGGUUCUUGUGAUACGCUCUUACAAAAUUCAUUUAAAAUUCAGUACUCUUACACAUUUUGGAAACACAAUUUAUACAAAAACUGAUUUCUCAGGAAAAAAAAGGAAAAUAAUGUUAUUUGCAUUGAAUGAACAAAUGAUUAGCAUAGUAGCAAAACUACUUAAAAUAAGAGAAAUUAGAAACCAAAAAGCAGCACAGCAUGAGUCUGGGCAUUGCAUGUUGGAUGAUCGAAACAGAGGUCUUGAGUGCGAAUCUAGAUCCUGAAAUACGCAGGCCUGCAAAAAGUCAUUCGAAGAAGUGUGCAAAACUCCCAUCAUUCAGCUUUCUUUCUGCUUCCCGCUCAGCAGGAUUACUAUGUACUGAGACAGAUAGGAAACUUAUCCCGGUGAGUUUUUAUUCCGGGAUGUCAAGGGCACAAUGCGCAGCUUAGUGAAUCUCCAUCAUCUUUGCCACAGGUGUAAGUUAUGAAGAUAGUUGCUAGAUGGAGGAUUUUCACACUAGUGAUUAAGCAUCUGUUUCAAGCCAGAAUCAUCAUUAAAUCACAGAUUUGCUUUACAAGCAAUAACUAGAGGGAUUUCAUAUUACAAGUAGAGUCUUUAUAACCUACUGAAUCGCUUAUUUACGAAGACAGAAGAAUAGGAGAGCUCACGUUUUGUUUUUACUGCACAAAUACUGCAUAUGGAAUCUGAGUGAGAAGUUACUCCCUAAAAAUUUCAAAAGUGUUUUUGAGAGGUACCUUUGAGCGAAUCUUCUGGCAACAGACUCAAAGAAGUCAUCCAAUAAGUAGAAAUUCUUCUAUGGAAGGCCACACACAUUAAUAGCAGUUCUUUCAAGGCGAAUUAUGCCAAGCCAAUCAAGGAAUUGCUGCCAUGGCAUGUAGUUGUGGUUUCUUAAUGUGUUCGAGUAACUUCUGCACAAGGAAUCAAAUUAAUCUUUAAAUCCGUGAAAUUAAAAGGGAUGCAGAAUUACAAAACUAAUAAUAAGAACAAUAAUAAUAAGAUGGAUAGAAGCAUGACCUGCCAAUGCAUGAUUUCGGCAAGCCUUUGCUUUGGUUCACCACUUCCCAAUGUAGUAAGAAUUUCAACAGCAUCCCAGAAUUUCAAUAGCAUCCCAAUGAUAACUCAUACUUGAUGAGCCUUGAUGGAGAAAUGAAAGUCCAGUUAAAAUUAUUCAAAAUGCAUAUCCACUCGCCAAGAACAUAUGCACCCAGAAAUCUCCUUAAAUAAAUAAGGUUUUAACAAGGUGAAUGCUUUGCUUUUUCUUUUUUUGGGAAGAACUUCAAAGUAAACAAAGGUAAGACUAUUGGGUUUUGAUGUUUACCUUGUGUGGGAGAAAUGUGAUGUUUACCCAGAAAUCACAUUUUGUUUUCAGAAUAAAUGGUUUUUUCCACCUCUGCAUUUGACAUUGAAAAAACUUGAAUAAAUACCAAAUAAUUAAGAUAUGCUGCUGAUUUAAUUUACAAAGGAAUGGCGCAUGUGAAGAGAAAUUGACAUAUGACAAUCACCUUCAGCACAAUCAAUUCUCAUCCUAAUUUAGAAGACUAAUCAAACUAAUUGCAGCAAUAACAUCUUUUCCACGAAGUCUACUAACUUCUGCACAUAGAGUCAAAAUUAAUCCGUUAUAUCCAUGAAAAGAAUGAAGGCAGAAUUACAUUAAAAAAUGAAUAAAAAUGACGGUUAAAAGAAAGACCUGCCAAUGCAUUUAAAAUCUCUUUGAAUUUGUUUCCCACAUCCCAAUUUAUUAGAAUUUCAGGUGAGUAAAAAACAAAUAAAUGAUUCCUCUAGCUUGAUGAGCCUGUACAUGUGGGAAAAAAGUGUUAAAAUAUUAUCAUAAAGCAAAUAAAUUCUCAAUUAUACAAAAAAUAAAAGAAAGAAAAGGUACUCUGUAUAUUGAUCUUGAUUGUAAAGAAAUAAUGACAAAAGGUACUCUGUAUAUUGAUCUUGAUUGUAAAGAAAUAAUGACAAAAGGAUACUUACGAACUCAAAGGUAAUACACUGCUCAUUUUGGAAGAAACACAUCCAACACUUCAAAACUUAUCCUUCAUUGAUCUGUGUAAAUAGAAUCAUAGAGUGAAGAUUUUCUCAUGUAAGUUUAAUUUGCAAAUUGGAGAGAAAAAGGACCAACUUACCGAAGCUUCAUCAUCCAGUAGAUAGCGGCCCUCUCUUUGAAUUCUUUGGUCAUCAACUUCAAUAUUUGGGAUGUGAGAAAUGAAAGCCCAAUCCGCACCCUUUCUAUUUCCACAUCUUUCCUUCAAUUGGGGACGGUCAUUGAUAUUCAAUUCUCGUAACGAGGUGAGGGAACGCAUCUCUUGAGGCAGACACUUUAUUGCCGGACAAAUCUGAAUGGUUAGUCUUUGAAGACAAGUGAGAUUCCACAGUCCAUCUGGAGGUAGAGAUUCCAGCUCUUCAAUGUCCGUAAUCUGAAGGAUCUUCAAUUUAGAGAGAGGAGGAAUGAUUGAGGAAGAAGAAGAGAUUGAUGGUGUGAAUAUUUGGUGCACAAGUUGUGGGCUUGCGCAGUGCAAAUAUAGUGAAUGAUCGAGAGAUGGAAACUGAGGGAUGGAGUUCAAAUUAGGGCAGUCCCUACAAACGAAAUACGAAAGACAAGGAAAUUGGAGUAGCUCAAGAGCUGUCGAAUCAUCCUUCUUCUUCUGCAAUCCUUUAAGCUUAGGACAACCAUAUAGCACGAGAACCCUUAGGGAUGGAAAGAAUGAUGUUGCUUGUCCCUCAAUCUCAAUGUACUCUAAAUCAUCUACUUCACGAAUAUGUAGAUAUUGAAGAGAAGGGAUUUGAUCCAUUGGUGGGAGAUGCUGAUAUCUAUUGCAAUUCCGUAUACAGAGAUAGACAAGAUUCGUGAGGGAAGAGAACCAACUUGGGAACCUCCUGCCUCCAUUGCCAAGCACACGUAACUCUUUAAGAUUGGGAUGCGGUUGGAGAUUUUGGAAUGCCAUUUCAUCUCUAUCAACAUUUGAAUCUUCCCAACUCUCCUCGCAACGUAAUUCCAAUGAUUGAAGGACUGGUUUCUCUUUCAUAUUAACAUUUACAAUCUCAUUAUCCACACAACCCAGAUUUAUAAUUUCAAGACGUCCCCUCAAAUUCUUAAGCUUAUUCAGUUCAUUUAUUUUUUCAACAUCCUUUGAGGAAAUAUGCCCUUUUGCCACUACGAACAGCGACAACGUCUGAAGUGAAGUCAACUGCCCAAGCCCACGUGGCAUAUGAGUCAAAGAGUAACAACCUUCACAAUAUAAAUGCCUAAGAUUUACAAGCUUUUUAAUAUCUUUAGGCAAUUCUUUGAGCUGGACACAGUAAGAGACAUCUAAUACUUGUAAAUUCAGCAAAUCGGUAAUAGAAUGUGAAAGUGCUUUAAGUCCCUUGUUAUCGGAACGUCAAGAUAUCUUAUAUAUUUUAGCAUUUUUAAAGAAUUAUCCAUCGUUGUAUAUGAAUGCAUCAUAAAUACACGUAAAAAUUUUAAAUUUUUAUAAAUAAAUAGUUGAUCGCAAUCAUAUUUCUCAAGCAAAAGAAGCGAUCGUACUCUUUUUGCGUUAUUAAGAAUUUCUUUUGAUGCAACAUCCAAAUUCAAUGCUACAUGAUGGAUUUUCUCAUUAAUAUUUAGUAUAUCAGAAUUUACUAGCUGAAUCCUCUUCCCACCCACUGUGGUUGCGAGAUCGUGCAUUAAAUCAUGCAUUUUACAGCUCUCUACAUUUCCAUAUCUAUCUCUUUCCACUUCUUGAAAAAAUGACCUCCACCACAGUUUCAUAAAAUAUUCAAGCCUAAUAUCUUCAAGAUAAUCACUCGUACUUGGUGACUCAAUAAACCCUUGUGCAAUCCAAAGAUGGAUUAAUCUUUUCACAUCAAUCACAUAAUCUUUUGGAUAUAUUGCGCAAUAUGCAAAACAAUGCUUCAAAUGUGAUGGGAGAUGAUCAUAACUUAGCUUCAGUGUUGGCAUAAUAUCAUUACCAUCUUGACUUAUUCUUGAGAGUUCUUUUGUUAAAAAGGGCAGCCACUCAGUUUCUGGAUUUUUCGCAUACAAGAGACUUGCGAUGGUUUUUAUUGCAAGAGGAACUCUAUGACAUUUCUUCAAAAUCUCCUUUCCCAUCUCUCUUACAUUUGCAUGUUUUGGCUCCUGCCCCUCAAGUGCUACAUGCAAAAACAAAGACCAAGACUCAUCCGGAGACAACCCUUCCAAAACAUGUGGUGCCAUUGUGCUAGAUAUAUCUGCCACCUUUUUAGAGCGAGUGGUUAUUAAUAUCUUACUUCCACUAGAGCCACCCACUAAUAAUCUCUUUAAAUUCUCCCAUUUUUCUCUAUUCUCAUUCCACACAUCAUCUAGAACAAGCAGAUAUUUCUUCCCACUAAUAAUUUUUUCCAGUCUAGACUUCAAUGCUUCUAACCCAAGAUCUUCCGGUCUAUUCCCUGUUGCAGACUCUAGAAUCUUUCCAACAGUCAUUUUCACAUCAAAAGGUUCUGAAACACACACCCAUAUUCUUGGCUCAAAUGAAUUCUUAAUCAAUUCAUCAUUGAAUAUGAUUUGAGCAAGAGUGGUCUUCCCUAAUCCUCCAAUUCCAACAAUUGAGAGGACUGAAACACACUCUUCACCAUUGGAAGACAAUACAAGUUCUGUAAUUGCCUUUUUGUCACCCUCUCUCCCAAUAACCACUUCAGGUAAAGAGGACGUAGUUUGAUCCCUCCAUACAAUACUCUCCUGAUCCGUACGAAACUCUAAAUUAAAUUUUCUGUCAGCUUCAAUAUCAGCUAGCCUCUCCCUAAUCUCCUUAACUUUAUGACCCAUUUUAAAACCAUAAACAAGUUGAUUUGAAGACGAAAAGAAGAGACUUACCUCCUUUGUCAUUCUAUUUCCAGUCAUCACUCGGCGCCUUAGAGCUUCUGUGGCGAAGUCAUCUACCAAGUCAUCAGCAUCAUAAACAACUUCUUCUAGCCUCUCAAGCCAGCCUUUCACUUGACGGUUAAGUUUCUGCUGCUCCUCAGCAUCCAGAAGAACGUUGCGAAUACUAGAAACUGUGGCCUCAAGUUUCUUAAGCUCACCUUUGACGCCCCACCACAAUCCGAUCUCAUGAAGGGCUCGAGAACCCAGCUUGGUAAUGAUAUCUCCGACAACGUUAGAGAGAACUCCGUCGGCCAUUUUGGGCGUUUUGGUUUGAUUGUAAAAGGAUGAAAUGUUGCUGUGAAGAAGAAGACGGUGACAACAAAUGACUGAUUUAAAGAAAAAAAAAGAAGUGGAGGAAAAAGCAUUCUUCUAAAUGAUUAUCUUCGGUCGGUCAACUUUGAACGGCGCUGGUUUGCUUUUUAAAUAAUAUAUUAAUACAUUUAUAUAUAUACAGAUGGAAAGAAAGUUAUUUUUUAAAAAAUAAUUUUAUUUUUUAUUAGAAAUGCAUUUUUUUUAAUUAAAUUUGAUGAGUGAUUCAAAUAUUAAAAAAUAUAAAAUAUAUAUAUACAGAUGGAAAGAAAGUUAUUUUUUAAAAAAUAAUUUAAUUUUUAAUAGAAAUGUAUUUUUUUUAAUUAAAUUUGAUGAGUGAUUCAAUUAUUAAAAAAUAUAAAAUAUAUUUUCGAUAUUGCUGAGAUUAAAUUGAUGUUGUAGUCGGAAUGAAACUGUACUAUAAUUGGUUAGAAUUUAUAAGAGAGGAAAUAUGAGAUAGUGGUGGGUACCUAUAGCAGCAAGGCAGUGAUGAGUACCUAUGACAGCUACUGUGACGCUAAAGUCAGUAUUUUGAAAAAUAGAAAAAAUUUAAUGAAUAACUUAGAGUUUGAGUAGUAUCAUAGAUAAUGUACCUUUAUCUUCGUAAUCGUUCUCCUUUUAUACUAUGAGAAAAUGUAUAUAAAUAUAUCAUGAAACAACAGGGCCUAAACUGGUCCAAAUAACUUUUGGACUCACUUUUCACUUGACCCAAAAUGGUUAAUUCAGGUUAUUUAGUAGUUUCGUGCUAGCUAUUAUAUACAAUUCCAAAAUCUCCCGAUGUGGGACAGCUUUCGCAGCGGAAGCGAACAGCUGACCAUUACACUCGAUCCCGCUAAAUUUGCGACGUCCUCGUCGCAGUUGAAUUGGAUACAAUUGCUAAUUAGGACCGAACCCUUAGGUAUUGUGGUUCGCUAGUACGUCGGGCGGCUCCACCUCGUCUCACACGGGUAGCUCUUUCCUUACAGGCUCACUAGCUCUACAUAAUUUGUUUGAUCUAGAGUGGCUCUAAUACCAAUUGAAACAGUCAGGUCCAAACUUGCUCAAAUAACUUUUGGACCCACUUUCUACUUUGCCCAAAAUAGUUAAUCUAAGUUAUUUAGUAGUUUUGUGCUACCUAUUAUAUACAAUUCCGAUUUUCUAUAAUCUCCCGGUGUGGGACGGCUUCCGCAGUGGAAGCAGGUAGCUGACCGUUGCACUUGGUCCCGCUAAAUUUGCGACGUCCUCGUCGCAACUGAAUCGGAUACAAUUGCUAACCAGGAUCGAACCCUUAGGUAUUGUAGUUCGCUAGUACCUCGAGCGGCUCCACCUCGUCUCACACGGGUAGCCCUUUCCUCGUAGGCCCACUAGCACAAUUUGUAUCUAGGGUGGCUCUAAUACCAAUUGAAACAGUCGGGUCCAAACUGGCCCAAAUAACUUUUGGACCCACUUUCCACUUGUCCCAAAAUGGUUAACUCAAGUUAUUUAAUAGUUUCGUGCUAACUAUUAUAUACAAUUUCGAUUUUCUAUAAUCUCCCAAUGUGGGACAGCUUCCGCAGCGGAAACAGGUAGCUGAUCGUUAUAAUCGGUCUCGCUAAAUUUGCGAUGUCCUCGUCGCAACUGAAUUUGAUACAAUUGCUAACCAAGACCGAACCUUUAGGUACUGUGGUUCGCUAGUACCUCUGGCGGCUCCACCUCAUCUAACACGGGUAGCUCUUUCCUCGCAGGCCCACUAGCUCUGCACAAUUUGUCUAACUCAGGGUGGCUCUGAUACCAAUUAAAAUAGUCGGGCCUAACCUGCCCCCAAAGGUUUGACUUUUGAAUCUGUGAGCGGACUUUAGGCCGUCGAACCUGCUGCCGAAAGUGCCCUGUCCAGCCUUUUUCAGCUUGCUUCCUACGUGUGUUCUUCUAUGUUCUUAGGGGGUAGUUUUAAGUGUUGUAAAAGUUAUAUUUGGUUCCUCAUUUAAGUCCAUCUGUGUAGGAUCGGACUUGGAAGAUCGUAGAAACUUGCAGUAAGAUAACUGUAUCAAAAUUAGGCGUGCGUCAGCCAGAGGUGAGUAGAACUAAACUCAAUUAUUAUUUUAAAAAAACCAAAUGUUUUAAGCAUACUUAUGCAUCACAAAUGCUAUGUAUAUAUAUGAUUAUGGUGCUUUGCAUUAGAAUUCACGAAUAUAAUGCAUUGCAUAAUUUAUUAUUGUUGUUGAUGUAUGUUAGAUGACCUUCUAGCCCUCAAGUAUGUUAUGGUAUGUUAUGACGGAUAUGGAAAGAGCAGGACUUGCUCAUUCUACGCCCUUGGCACUGUGUAAGGGAAAGACCAGGGUUACACAUUUUAUAUCCGUGGCACUAUGGAUAUGUUAUUUUAUGUUUAAGAGGAAAUUCUGAAAAGCGCUUGUCGUGGGCUGGGCACUAUUGGAAUCUAUAGAGAGUCACUGGUGACAAGUCUAUCUUGAUAUGAAUUGUUUGUGUUGUGACACAUUUAUACGAUCAUAUGUCUUAUUAAACUGCUUUUGUUAUGUUUCUGCUCACUAGCCUCUUAUAGUUUAUCCCUUUUCCCUAACUCCAGAUUUGCAGGAUCAGAAUUAGCUCGAGAGGUGGGCCGAGGUGUUGGUAUAGUCCAUUGUAAUAACAUAGUUGUGGACAUGUAUUAAUUUGUGAAUUUGAAUUGUGUUUUGCGUGAGUUUUCUUUAUAAUCCUUAUUUUAUGAUUUUUUUAUGUAAAAGAUUUUAAGUCUAAAUUAUGUUUGAACUAAGCUUGAGGUGUGUAAUAUUGACUAUACUAAAACAUUUGAUGAGAGCUCUAGUAUGAAUUUAUGUUUCCAGUUCUGAUACAUGCGCAGGUCAAGUUUUUGUUAUUGAAAUAGAAGUGUUUUUACAUGUUUGUGUGAUUAUGUAUGGAUCUAUAUCAAAUGUAACAGGAUGUAUAGUAAAUUUGCUAUGAGUUCCGGCAACCUUAGAUUGAUCUGAACCGUAGUGCCGAUAGCGGUCUGAGUUGCAGAUGUGGCUCCGAAUUGAAUUAUUUAACAAAGUAUGGGGUAUCAAAGGAAAAAAGUGAAAACUUUGGGUAUUGACUUCAUUCCUUUGGAGGUUAGUCUGAAGGACACUAUUGAAAGCUUGAAGGAUAAGGGCUUCCUCAGCAUUUAAUAUUGGCUGUUGGAUAAAAAGCAAUGCAAAUAUUACAUUGGCUUUUCAGGUUCAUUGGCUUUAGCUUCCUAUUGGUGCAAGAUAUUAUUACCCUUCAGGAUUGUCUUUAUUUGAAAAAAGUGGACCAAUACAAUUUGUAAAAUACAUAACAAUUUGUAUACAACUGUAUAUAAACAUAUUACAUGUGUCACUUGUUUCACUGGUGGAUGAAGUUCAUUUCAGGUCUGAUUUCUGAGGAAGUUACUCUUUUUUUUAUCUGAUUUCAGGUCUCAUUCCAAAGAAUAAGACACAAGAAAAAGAAAAUGUGUAAUCCACCAAUUCAGAUUUAGUUCAGUCUUUUCAAAGUAUAUUCAGAUUUCAUAGCCAACUCAUUUUAUGCUGUAUCUGAUUUCUGGUUCUUGUGAUAUGCUCUUACAAAAUUCAUCUAAAAUUCAGUGCUCUUACACAUUCUGGAAACAACAAUUUAUACAAAAACUGAUUUCUCAGGGAAAAAAAGGAAAAUAAUGUUAUUUGCAUUGAAUGAACAAAUGAUUAGCAUAGUAGCAAAACUACUUAAAAUAAGAGAAAUUAGAAACAAAAAAGCAGCACAGCAUGAGUCUGGGCAUUGCAUGUUGGAUGAUCGAAACAGAGGUGUUGAGUGAGAAUCUAGAUCCUGAAAUACGCGGGCCUGCAAAAAGUCAUUCGAAGAAGUGUGCAAAACUCCCAUCAUUCAGCUUUCAUUUCUGCUUCCGGCUUAGCAGGAUUACUAUGUACUGAGUUGUUUUCUGAACUGUGACAGAUAGGAAACUUAUCCCGGUGAGAUUUUAUUCCGGAAUGUCAAGGGCACAAUGCGUAGCUUAGUGAAUCUCCAUCAUCUUUGCCGCAGGUGUAAGUUAUGAAGAUAAUUGCUAGAUGGAGGAUUUUCACACUAGUAAUUUAGCAUCUGUUUCAAGCCAGAAUCAUCAUUAAAUCACAGAUUUGCUUUACAAGCAAUAACUAGGGGGAUUUCAUAUUACAAGUAGUCUUUAUAACUUACUGAAUCGCUUAUUUUUGAAGACAGAGGAUGAGGAGAGCUCACGUUUUGUUUUUACUGCACAAAUACUGCAUAUGGAAUCUGAGUGAGGAGUUACUCUCUAAAAAUUUCAAAAGUGUUUUUGAGAGGUACCUUUGCGUGAAUCUUCUGGCAACAGACUCAAAGUAGUCAUCCAAUAAGUAGAAAUUCUUCUAUGGAAGGCCACACACAUUAAUAGCAGUUCUUUCAAGGCGAAUUAUGCCAAGCCAAUCAAGGAAUUGCUGCCAUGGCAUGUAGUUGUGGUUUCUUAAUGUGUUCGAGUAACUUCUGCACAAGGAAUCAAAUUAAUCUUUAAAUCCGUGAAAUUAAAAGGGAUGCAGAAUUACAAAACUAAUAAUAAUAACAAUAAUAAUAAGAUGGAUAGAAGCAUGACCUGCCAAUGCAUGAUUUCGGCAAGCCUUUGCAUUGGUUCACCACUUCCCAAUGUAGUAAGAAUUUCAACAGCAUCCCAGAAUUUCAAUAGCAUCCCAAUGAUAACUCAUACUUGAUGAGCCUUGAUGGAGAAAUGAAAGUCCAGUUAAAAUUAUUCAAAAUGCAUAUCCACUCGCCAAGAACAUAUGCACCCAGAAAUCUCCUUAAAUAAAUAAGGUUUUAACAAGGUGAAUGCUUUGCUUUUUCUUUUUUUGGGAAGAACUUCAAAGUUAACAAAGGUAAGACUAUUGAGUUUUGAUGUUUACCUUGUGUGGGAGAAAUAUGAUGUUUACCCAGAAAUCACAUUUUGUUUUCAGAAUAAAUGGUUUUUUCCACCUCUGCAUUUGACAUUGAAAAAACUUAAAUAAAUACCAAACAAUUAAGAUAUGCUGCUGAUUUAAUUUACAAAGGAAUGGUGCAUGUGAAGAGAAAUUGACAUAUGACAAUCACCUUCAGCACAAUCAAUUCUCAUCCUAAUUUAGAAGACUAAUCAAACUAAUUGCAACAAUAACAUCUUCUCCACGACGUCUACUACCUUCCGCACAUAGAGUCAAAAUUAAUCCGUUAUAUCCAUGAAAAGAAUGAAGGCAGAAUUACAUUAAAAAAUGAAUAAAAAUGAUGGCUAAAAGAAAGACCUGCCAAUGCAUUUAAGAUCUCUUUGAAUUUGUUUCCCACAUCCCAAUUUAUUAGAAUUUCAGGUGACUAAAAAACAAAUAAAUGAUUCCUCUAGCUUGAUGAGCCUGCAUAUGUGGGAAAAAAGUGUUAAAAUAUUAUCAUAAAGCAAAUAAAUUCUCAAUUAUAAAAAAAAAAAUAAAAGAAAAAAAAAGGUACUCUGUAUAUUGAUAUUGAUUGUAAAGAAAUAAUGACAAAAGGAUACUUACGACUCAAAGGUAAUACACUGCUCAUUUUGGAAGAAACACAUCCAACACUUCAAAACUUAUCCUUCAUUGAUCUGUGUAAAUAGAAUCAUAGAGUGAAGAUUUUCUCAUGUAAGUUUAAUUUGCAAAUUGGAGAGAAAAAGGACCAACUUACCGAAGCUUCAUCAUCCAGUAGAUAGCGGCCCUCUCUUUGAAUUCUUUGGUCAUCAACUUCAAUAUUUGGGAUGUGAGAAAUGAAAGCCCAAUCCGCACCCUCUCUAUUUCCACAUCUUUCCUUCAAUUGGGGACAGUCAUUGAUAUUCAAUUCUCGUAACGAGGUGAGGGAACGCAUCUCUUGAGGCAGACACUUUAUUGCCGGACAAAUGUCAAUGGUUAGUCUUUGAAGACAAGCGAGAUUCCGCAGUCCAUCUGGAGGUAGAGAUUCGAGCUCUU